GACGAACGCUGGCGGCGUGCUUAACACAUGCAAGUCGAACGAAGAGCGAUGGAAGCUUGCUUCUAUCAAUCUUAGUGGCGAACGGGUGAGUAACGCGUAAUCAACCUGCCCUUCAGAGGGGGACAACAGUUGGAAACGACUGCUAAUACCGCAUACGAUCUAAUCUCGGCAUCGAGGAUAGAUGAAAGGUGGCCUCUACAUGUAAGCUAUCACUGAAGGAGGGGAUUGCGUCUGAUUAGCUAGUUGGAGGGGUAACGGCCCACCAAGGCGAUGAUCAGUAGCCGGUCGGAGAGGAUGAACGGCCACAUUGGGACUGGGACACGGCCCAGACUCCUACGGGAGGCAGCAGUGGGGAAUCUUCCGCAAUGGACGAAAGUCUGACGGCGCAACGCCGCGUGAGUGAUGACGGCCUUCGGGUUGUAAAGCUCUGUUAAUCGGGACGAAAGGCCUUCUUGCGAAUAGUGAGAAGGAUUGACGGUACCGGAAUAGAGAGCCACGGCUAACUACGUG
rnacentral:rRNA from 1 species